rnacentral:rRNA from 1 species
AUUGAACGCUGGCGGCAGGCCUAACACAUGCAAGUCGAGCGAGCGGCGGACGGGUGAGUAAUGUAUGGGGAUCUGCCCGAUGGAGGGGGAUAACUACUGGAAACGGUAGCUAAUACCGCAUACUAUCGGAUGAACCCAUAUGGGAUUAGCUCGUAGGUGGGGUAAAGGCUCACCUAGCCGACGAUCUCUAGCUGGUCUUAGAGGAUGAUCAGCCACACUGGGAUGGAGACACGGCCCAGACUCCUACGGGAGGCAGCAGUAGGGAAUAUUGCACAAUGGGCGCAAGCCUGAUGCAGCCAUGCCGCGUGUAUGAAGAAGGACUUAGGGUUGUAAAGUACUUUCAGCGGGGAGGCGUUACCCGCAGAAGAAGCAACGGCUAACGCCGUGCCAGCAGCCGCGGUAAUAC